AUUGAACGCUGGCGGCAUGCUUUACACAUGCAAGUCGAACGGCAGCGCGGGGGCAACCCUGGCGGCGAGUGGCGAACGGGUGAGUAAUGUAUCGGAACGUAUCCUGUAAUGGGGGAUAACCAGUCGAAAGAUUGGGUAAUACCGCAUACGCACGAGAGUGGAAAGUAGGGGAUCGCAAGACCUUACGUUAUAGGAGCGGCCGAUAUCUGAUUAGCUAGUUGGUGGGGUAAAGGCCUACCAAGGCGACGAUCAGUAGCUGGUCUGAGAGGACGACCAGCCACACUGGGACUGAGACACGGCCCAGACUCCUACGGGAGGCAGCAGUGGGGAAUUUUGGACAAUGGGCGAAAGCCUGAUCCAGCCAUGCCGCGUGCAGGAAGAAGGCCUUCGGGUUGUAAACUGCUUUAGUCUAGGAAAAAGGGGUGCGAGGUUAAUACCCUCGUGCUUUGAUGGUACUGGAAGAAUAAGCACCGGCUAACUACGUGCCAGCAGCCCGGUAAAGCUACGUAGA
rnacentral:rRNA from 1 species